UUAAUAACCUGCUGUCUGUCCAUCUGCCCAGAGCCCAGGGUCCUGUGUUCUGCCCUUCCCAGGACUCCAGGGCGGGACCCAUUCUCAUCCAUGGGAAAAAGAGGUGGGGAUUAAAUACCCUUUCCAAGAAUGGACUCCAAAGUCUAUUUCUCAUGCAUCUCCUGCUGUGCCUAUCUAUUCAGGGUAGUGUCUUCUCAAAUCCACACAGGGCAGCUUCUCCGUGUUGCUCUCUAACAUACCGAGGAUGGAGCCCAGCUCAGCAGCUGACGCGACACAGACCCUCCAUCAACAGUGCAUGGGAAAGUUGACCAAUGACCUCCUGAGAAGUCAAAGCAGCCCUACACAGGCUGCUCUGAGCAUAACGCCCAGCCCGGCUCCACAGCCACACGGGCUCCUGGGUAGACAGGUGACCUGGUGUCAGAGUCACCAGUGAGGGUGAGUGCAGCCAGCCGUGCAAGUGAGCAUAACGCCCAGCCCGGCUCCACAGCCACACGGGCUCCUGGGUGGACAGGUGACCCGGUGUCGGAUUCACCAGUGAGGGUGAGUGCAGCCAGCCAUGCAAGUGAGCCCACCAGAGCUGCUUCGCUCGGGGUAGGCUGGGGAGAUCACCUCUGAGGCCGCAGGGUCAGGGUGGCUUUUCUGGAGACCCAGACCAUGAGCCAGCUCAGAGAGGUGCCUGCUGCUCAGCAACUGUCAGGCCUUCAGCAUUUAAGGAUCUUCACAACGUUGUCUUCCUUGUACACCUGGCAUAUUCCUAGUUAUCCAAUAUUCAUCUUUAAACUGAAUUAAUUUAACUAUUUAAUAGUCUCAUAUGAAAUUAUCCAUGAAAAUUGUGGGUCUGCUAUUUAGAUAUUUAAUUUAAUGGUAGGUCAACACCAAUUUGUUUCUGGAAGUCUGACUAGAAAACGAGAUGGUGUGUGAAAGUUAAAGAGUGUCUGAGACGGAGGGUAAAUUCUGGAAUUUCACGUGUUAGGAUGUAUACACAGAAUAUAUGGAAAAUGGCAGGGAAAGAAUCAUUUGAAGAGAAACCGGCGAGAAAUAGCACGUGAAUUCGAGGACUCUGCAUUUUAUCCAAGGCCCUGAGACACGGCCACCAACAACAGGUGAGAAGCAGUUCAUGGAACCCUAGAGCAUAAACCACCCCAUUUCCCAAAGGACAGCAAUGCCCUGGACCCGGCACUGAAUUAAGAAGAAAAGCAGGAGGGAAGAAAGGCGUAAACGGGACACAGCAAGGAAAUUCAGAGCGGGGGCCCAGGAGCUGGGUCUGGACAAUGGAGGGUGACCACCCAGGACACCAGCUGGUGCUGUGGGACCGGGUGCUGCCUCAGGUUCCCACCGCAGUGUGGGCCGGCCAAGGCUCCGGGCAGCUAAUUUAUGCCAUUUGACUUCAUUAACCCGUGUGGGGGCAAAUAUCUCUAAAAGCUGAAUGGACACUUUAGGAGUGACAUUCCCUAAAACCCCACUCUUUGUAUAUCACGGUCCUUAAGAGAAGAGGGGCUGAUGGUGUGGGAUCUGUGAGACCGUGGUCAGUCGCUGCAUUUCAGGCCUCCAACGCUGCUUACUUUGAUCUAAAAUAUAACCAGAAGAACCACAGGUUUUUAAUUCCAGAAGAGGUUGAAUUCCUGACUCUGUUAUUACCGUCUGUGAUCCUGGGCAGAGUACAUCUUCUGUUUGAGUUUUAUCAGCCCAAAAAGGGCACCGUGUUACUUCAGAGAUGGUGGACAAAUCCAUCAAUGUCACCUGAAUGUUCAACCAAGCGAGGAGCUGUGUUCCCUGCUGGAUCGAAACCUGUGGUUAUGAGCCCAGCAUCUGUGUUCACGAAGGCUGCUGCGCAGCCGCUCUUGCCUCUGGGUUUGGUAUCGGGGUGAUGCUGGCUGGAUUGCAUAAGUGGGGGAAUGGUCCUUCUCCUUGAGUUUGUGAAGGAAUUCAUGGGGCAUGGGCAUCAUUUCAUUCCUAUCUUGGCAGGAGUCACAGCAGAGCCCUCCGGGCUGAGUUUCUUUGUGGAAACCCUUCCCCAUCCCGGACGCUUCCCAGCUGGGCCUCGGGCCACCACGGCUGUGGCUCUGGCCUCCCCAGUGUCCUCCUGAAACUCCUUCUGAGUGGUGUCUGGACGUCGACGGUGCCUCAUCUGUCCGGACAUCACGGCCCUGCGUGUCCUGUCCCAAAUCUCCCCAGCCCGCAGCCCUGCUCCCCGGCACUGGAAGGCAGUUCAGGGCUGUCUUGCUGUUUCCUGGAGGUGGCUGUGAAAGGUCUGAAAGACAUAAACACGAUGACGUGCUGGGCUCAGCAGAAGGCUGCCGCCCUCCUGUGUCCAGGACCACAGGACUCCGAAGGCCCCGUGUGUCCUCCUGGGGCCUUAGGGAACUUGGCAGGGCUGCCCACUGGCUCUGUCGGCACGAGGCCUUCAGAAUUACAAACUUUGGAAGAAUUUCUCAAGCUAUCAGAACAACCGAGGUCCCUGUGCACGGCUCUGUGGACGUGAGUUGGUCCUGCAACAGGCAACAGUGCAUUUGCUGGUGAGGGGAGCCCAGCAAGGGCAGGAGUGGCGUCAGUCUGUCCAGUUACAAAACAUAGCAAUGGGACAAGAUCCAGUAGGCCCCGUGUUUGCCAGUAGACACUCACUCUCUUCCACAACCCGAGCAGGCACCACGCAGGGGAGAGCCGAGGGGUGUGGAAUGGACCCCACCUGCACUCACCCCCAUGCCCAUGGCCAGUUCCUCUUUUUGCUUCAGGAAAACGUCGUUUUCCCCUGGAAACCAGCGUUUGAUUCACCGACUCGCACAGUAGGCAGCCUGGAGACGGCCGUCUUCUUAGCUGGGACACCAGGCACUCCAGGGCUUUUGUUUUCCCUCCUAUGGUGUCAUCAUAGACACGACCUCACACUAUCUGCUUAUCACAGUGUAAAGCUCUUCGGAAGAACAACCUUCACAUCAGCAUUUGUUAUGAGUGACAGGGGAGGGAGCAAAACCUCCUCCUCCAACCCAUGUUUUCGCAUCAUUUUUCAUCUGCGGAGAAACCCAAGCCAUCCCCACCCCCAGGAAUGUAAGGACAGAAACUGAAGUCCUCAUCAUUCUGCCUCUGGUCUUCCUGUUAAUAAAAAAUAAGUCUGUGUUAAUUAGAUUUGGAAGAUGAGUUUUCCAUCCAGGCACUUUUCCCUGAAUUAUCCUCGUCCGCACGAGCGACUCUUUCCAGGGCUGGAGCUCACGGCUGGGCUGUGGCCUGUGCCGUCCCGUGGAGGUUAGAAGGUGGGCGCAGAUGUGCUCAGCUUCCUGAGAGACGUCUCAUUAUAACGCCGCCCCAGGCAGUAAUUUGAUCUUUUUUUCUUUUAAAAGAUGAAAUUCCGCUUUUAUCCCUUUGGUUAUAGUCCAUAGCUCCUCUGCUUGUUAAACCUUAAGGAAAAGACUAAAAUCUUUUGCCACUAUUUUGUCGGUAUGUAUUUCAAAAAGAAAAAUAACAAUAUACCUAUUGCAUUAAAAAUGUUUUGAUCUGAUUAUAGCUACAAGGUAAUAGAUAUUAAAGAAUCUAGUGCUCUCCCAUAUGACAAUUAUAAAUGGUACAUUUUCCUUAUUCCAGGAAAUGUUACAAAAAUUUGGGAACACUAAAUUAAUAUAAUUUGCCCAAAGGUGCUUAUGUCUGUCUAGAGGAUGGCAUAAGUUCAUUGUAGUAUAGAUAAUGCAUAUCAUACAAAUCGUGUUCAGAAACCCCUGCUAAAACCAGUCUCCUUGUUUUAUGAUCACAUUAUAUGAAGGAGUAAAUGCUGUAUCAGAUAUUCCAGGAAUAAAACUUGCUUAUCAAAAUCACCCUACACAACACCUCAGUGUCCAAGGGAACAUAAAAGGUAAUGUCAAGGGUUCCCGCAUAUCAACAUAAAUGUGAUUUUCAGAUAAGCAAUUACAGCAUAGUCCACAGUAAUAUCCGACAUUUUUAUUGCUCGAAUAUUUUUGUAAUAAGGAAAAAUAGUUCAGUACAAAUUUAUGAUAUUUU
rnacentral:lncRNA from 1 species